CCCAGCCUCCUAGCCCUUUGAAUUAAAUGGCUAAUUCUUCAGGCAAAAAGUUUUAUCAGAAAUAAAACCUUAGUACGUUUUCAUAGGUUUUAAUGUGCUAUAUAUUCCCUGCCAUUUAAUUCCAAAAUUUCAAAAUUUCCAUUGUGAGUUUAUCUUACAAUUAUCAGUUGUUUGUCACUUUGACUUUUAGUUUUCAAACUUGUGCUGUUAAUUUUUUUGGAGAGGAAGAUUCUAUUUAUUAUUAAUUUCUAACAUUGUUGUAGGAAUCUGGUAUAAGACGUGGGAUGUGUGCAUUGCAACUCUUUGUCCCAGUUUAUACCUGCUGCCUAAUCGUAAUUAUUAUGUCCCCUUUUACCUCAAAUGUGUCCCAGUUGUGCACAACAUAUUAUAUGGUUAUGGUUUGUGUGCAUGUGUGUGUGUCCGUGUGCAUGUCAUUGUCUCAUUAAAAUCUCCUCUAUCAAGAAUAACUUUUUGUCUACUUGACCUAUCCGUUUAAGAUGGAAGUGUGUUAAAAUCUCCCACUCUGAUUUUAAUUCAAUUUCAUAUCUCCAGUCUUGCCCUCUUACCUGAACUCCAGACUCUUGUAUCCUUCUUGUACCCUCUUGUACCUCUACGUCACACCUUCAAGGGCCUGUCCCUGUCUGAUAAAUCUUAAAUGUUACAUGUGCAAACAGAAUUCUUGAUUUUUCUUGCAAAUAGCUCUUUGCUCAGGGAUCCACCUCUCAGGAAGUAACACCUUCUUUUGUCCAGUCAUUCAAGCCCCAAAUCUUGUAACCAUCUUGUCUUUCUCUUGAUUUGUUCAUCAUAUCAACAAACACAUCUUCGGGGGUUGGGGGUUUUAAGAGAGGUUGAUUAAUGGAUACAAAUAUACAGCUUGAUAGAAGAAAUAAGAUUUAUUAGGCUUCUUCCAGUUUGGGGAACUUCUAUUUCUACAUGAUUUGGUGAGAUUUGAUAUAUUUUUCAGGACUGACCCCUAAAGAGAAUUAUUAUUUGGGUGCAAAAUUUGAAAGAGCCAAGUAAGAAGACAAGCUUUCCAGAGCAAUUGCCACCAUAUUUUUCAGCUCUGUAUUCCAGAAACACAAGAUUGUCAUAUAAGAAACACAAGUGUAGACCAGACCCAUGACUUGCUCCUAAACAACAGAAUAUGACAAAUGGAAUGGCACGUCACUCCCAUGAUUAUGUGAUGUUAUAUGACUGUGUCUUGCUAGCUGGCUGGCUCCACAGACGUUCUCUCUCCCUUGCUGGCUGUGAAGAAGCAAGCUGCCAGAACUCCUAAAGCCACAUGGAGCUCAUUGCUGCCAAAAGGAAUUGGGAAGCAAAUCCUUCCCUAGCUGAGCCUCCAGUUGAGAGCCAGUCCUGGCCAACACCUUGAAUGUAGCCUUGUAAGACCUUCUGAGGAGGACCAAGCUAUGCCGUAUCCAGAUGUGUGACCUGCAGAAACUCUGAGGUAAUAAUUGUGUGCUGAUUCAAGCUCCCAUGUUUGCAGUAAUUUCUUACGCAGCAUAGAAACAUAGACUACAAAUGUCUGGAAAAGAAUAGCAUGUGGCUUUUUAGCCAACCUGUGUGUGAUUUCAAGGGAGCAGGAGAUUUUAGAGGCAAUUAGUCUUAUAAAGGAUAUAUGAGUCCAUUUUGCACUGCUAUGAAGGAAUAGCAGAGACUGGGUAAUUUUACAAGGAAAAUAGGCUUAUUUGACUCAUGGUUCUGCAGGCUGCACAAGAAGCAUGGUGCCAGCAUCAGUUUUUAAUGCGGGCCUCAGGACACGUACAGUCAUAGUGGAAGGCAAGAGGAGCUGGAUGUGGCACACCUUAAGAGAGGAGGCAAGACAGAGGGUGCAAGAAGUUCCAGAAUCUUUAACUACCAGAUCUUAUGUGAACUUAUGACUGUGGGGAGGGCACCAAGCCAUUCAUGAGGGAUCUGCCCCCAUGACCUCCCACUAAGCCCCACCUCCAACACUUGGGAUCACAUUUCAACAUAAGAUUUGGAGGGGGAAAAUAUUAACAUUAUUAAUAUCUGAAUUCUAUUAGAGACGAAAGGGAAAUUUUCCCACACGCUAAACAUUCUAAGUUGACUAGAGAAAGAUAAGGAUGUAUAUAGAGUAGAUUUCUAAGACCUAUACUAUUUUUAAAACCUGGUGGGAUUUGGGACAACGGUGAAGAAUGAAGCAUAUCAAUAAUAAAGACAUCCUCUUUUCACUUUUAUCAAAAAGGAUAAUGACGAGAGAUAUUGGUACCCAGAGUAGGAUAGAAAUAUACUUGAUGAGAGUAAAAGAUUUCGUAGAGAUGUCAAGAAUGAGAGAUAUGUGUCAGUUUAAAUUUUGUUUUAACUACAGGUAUUUUGACUAUGAAGCUAACCUUUUCCUUUUCCAAAAUGGAAGCAUGCCUUCUGAAAGGGAAAUUGUUAAUUACAUGUGCAUGGAUAUGGACUCAUCGGGAGCUAAUUAUUUCAAUAGAAAUGCUUGGAGGUUUCAAAAAUAUUUGUUUAUUGGGAAUGUAAACUUGUGGCCUUAAAAUUGAUGAGAGAUAGUUCCUCCUGAUUUUGGCAGGCUCCUUUCUCUAAAAUUAACUGGAUAAAUCAUAUUAUAGAGAAAAAAUAUAGAUGCUAGAGAAUACAAACAACACCCACAAAGGAGAAACUCCUAUGGAAAUGGAAGAAAGUUUUGAAAUGAAGUGGUGGUUAUGGUUUGUGGAUGGGUGCCUAGUGGCUAGGGUCUGAGGCAGAGGGUAUCUGGGCUAUGAGGGGUUUAAAGAAAAGUUUGAAAAAUUCAGUUCUUGCCGAUCGUUCUUUGCUGUGCAAUUAUUAUUGAUAACUGCUUCCUGCAGAAACCAGUGACAAAGACCCAAAGGUGGUACACACACCUAUCAGGUGAGGAGUUGGGAAAAAAUCUGGAGACUGUGUAGCCCUGGGAGCCACACUCUCCCACUUCCCACUAUUAUACUGCCAUCAUUCUUACCUGGGUCGCACCGGCAGAGAUUCUGAUGUAACUGACCUAGGCUGAUGACCUCAGCAUCAUCGUUUUCAGAGCUUACCAAGUGAUUCUAACAUGCAAGUCUUGAUCUGAAGGUGUUGCUUAGUGACAAAGGAGGGUGAUUAAUUUUGGUUUUAUGAUGCCUGAGACUUUCUACCCUAAGGCUCAUGCCUGUUCACUCCUUGUACUCACUUCGAAUGAGAGAUCCAAGUGUGGGUUUCUGCAGGCGUUUGAGCCCUUUCUCAGCAUACCCUAUAUGAUAUCCCUGGGAGAGAAUUAUUUCAUUAGCCAAAAUAAUGAAAUAUUUAUGGAACUUAAUUAUCUUGAAAGAAAAACAACAAAACAAAGAUCCCUGGAAGUAUUAGAACACAUGGAUGAAAAUAUUUAAAUAAAUUUAUUAUAUAGAUUAAAAGACAUAAUGGACAAAACAUGGACAUACUGGACAAUAUUUGGAAUCCCAUUUCAACUUAAGAUUUGGAGAGGACAAAUAUCUAAACUACAUCAGAGGGGAAAGAGAAAUUUUCAAUAUGAAACAGAAACACAAAAACAAAGGAACCUAGUACAAAUAUUAGGUAUGAAAAAUUAGAUAAUUAAAAUAAGAAACAUAGAAGAUGGUAUAAAUAGUAGAAUGGAUACAGGUGAAGACCCAACUGAUGAGCUAGAACAGAUGGAAAAACCAUCCCAAGAAGAAAAUAGGAGAAGACAAAGAAAUAGAAAAUACAAAAGAAAAGUUAAGAGAUAUGGAGAAUAGAAGUAGAGGUGCUAACUUUUACAGAAAAAUGAUUCCAGAAGGAGAGAAAAAUAAUGAUGGAGAAAAGAAAAUAUUUAAAGAUACAACGAGGAACUUUCUCCAGAAUUAAAGAAGUAGGAAAGACUUCAGAUUGUGAAGACUCCUAAUGUACCAAACAAGAGACAAAAGGAAAAAGGUGUUUGAUAGACUUUGUUUCCCUAAGUACUGAUUACAGGAUUACAAGUGUGAGCCACUGUGCCAGGCUGAAUGCAUACAUUAAAAAAAAAUGCUGAAAGUUAAUGAGUCAGGCAAAAUAAGCCAUCAAAAUAAAUCAAAGAAAGUGCAAAAGGGAAAAUUAGUAUUUUACAGCUGUGAAAAUAAAUUAACUACAGCCACAUACAAUAAUGUGAAUAAUAAUUUGGUCAUGUUCAGCGAAAAACGACUGUAUUUAGCAUGAUACUUUGUUUUUUGCUUUGCUUGCUUAUUUGUUUUUUAUUAUGGUAAAAAUCAUUUUACAAAAAAUUUACUAUCUUAAUCUUUUUUUUUUCUUCAUGCAUGUUCUGCUUAUGUAUUCUAUCUCGACCAUUAUAAGUAUCCAUUUCAGUAGUAAGUAUAGCCCGUUGUUGUGAAACAGCUCUUGAGAACUUUCUCAUGUUGUCAGUCUGAAACUCUAUACCUGUUAAACAACAACCUCCACUUUUCCUUUACCCUUUAGUCCCUGGUAACUGUUUUAUUCUGUUUCAUUGAAUUUGAUCGUAGAUAUCUUAUAUAAAUAGAAUCUUAUAGUAUUUGUCUUUUUGGAGUGGCUUAUUUCACUUAGCAUAAUAUUCAAGGUUUAUUCAUGCUGUAACGUGUGAUAGAAUACCCUUUUUUUAUUUUAAUUAUUUUUAUUUUUAGUAGAGAUGGGGUUUUGCCGUGUUGCCAAGGUUGGUCUUGAACUCCUGAGCUCAAGCGAUCAGCCUCCCGAAGUGCUAGGAUUACAGGUGUGAGCCACUGCGCCCGGCCCCAUUCUUUUUUAAGACUGAAUAGUAUUAUAUUGUAUGUAGGUACCACAUUUUUAAAAUCUAUUCCAUCUGUUGAUGGACAUUUGUGUUGCCUUCACCUCUUGGUUAUCAUGAACAAUAUUGUUAUGAGAAUGAAAUAUAUAUUUUUUAAGUUCAAAGAACAUACAAAACUAUUUAUUUUAGUCAUCAGAUAAAAAUAUCCUAAGAAAUUAACAGAAUGCUAAAUAGAAAAUUCAGGGUGAUUGGUCAUUUGGGAGCAGGACUUGAAGGCUGGGGAAUGAAAUGAAGAGAUGUGAUGAUCAGAGUUAUGGCUCUCCAAUUGGCCAGGCACUAAUGACUAUUUAUAAUAUUAUAAUAAAUACAUAUGUAAGCAAAUAACAUAAAUUAAAAAGAAUUAUGCAUGAACCAAUGAAGACAGUGUACCAUAAACCAAAGGUUUUGAUUUAUUCAGUUGUGUUCACCUGAGAUUCAUUAGAAAAACAAACACAGAUGUCUUCUGUGAUGUGUAUCUGUUUGUAUGUGCUCAGGAAAGUGGUGAAUAAUUUGUUCAAUUUAUUUUUUAAUUCAUAAAAUUCAGAGUAUAUUGUUUUUUAUUGUAUUUUCAAUGGAUUUAUUCAGGUAUAAUUGUGCACAUAUGUAAAAUGAACAAUUUCAUCAGUUUUAACAUAUUUAUACACUCAUGAAACCAUCAUUACCAUCAAGAUAAAGAACAUAGCCAUAAUCCCCAAAAGGUUUUUCCUGCUCCAUUCUAAUCCCUCCCUUCUGAUCCUCCCUAUCACCCCAGGCAACCACUGCCAUGUUUCUUGUUCAUAUAGAUUAGUUUGCAUUGUCUAGAAUUUUAUAUAAAUGAAAUAAUAUAUACUUCUUUUGGUCUGGCUUCUUUCACUCAGAAUAGUUAUUCUGAGAUUUAACAAUCUUAUUGUUGCAUGUAUCAAUAGGCCAUUCCUUUUUAUUGGUGGGUAGCGUUCCAUUGUGUGCACAUAGCAGCUUCUUUACCCAUUCACCCUUUUAAUUUAGCCAUUUUAGUAGGUGAGUAAUGGUAUCCCACUGUAGUUUUAAUUUGUGUUUCCCUAAUAACCAAUGAUAGUAAGCAUCUUUUCAUGCGGCUAUUUGCCAUCAGCUUAUCUUCUUUGGUGAAAUGUCUGUUGAAAUUUUAUGAGUUUUUUUCAUCGAGAUAUUUUAUUUUUGAAGUUUGACAGGUCUUUAUGUAUUUUAGGUACAAGUCCUUUAUCAGAUAUGAUUUGCAAGUCUGUAGCCUUUUUAUACUCUUUUUUCUUAUUUCAUGUCACAUGUUAACACCCAUCUUUAUGCUCUCAAUAGUAUAUUUUGAAGAGCAGAAGUUUCAAAUUUUGAUGAAGCCCAAUUUAUCAAUUUAUACUAAUAUGGAUUGUGCUUUUUGGUAUCUUAUUGAAGAAAUCUUUGUCUAACCUAAGGCCACAUACAUUUUCUCCUAUGCUUUCUUCUAAAGGUUUUAUAAUUUUAAUUAUGUUUCCAUCUUUUUCCCUGGGUGUUGGAUUCAAAGUGUGGUAAGAAGAAUUCUAAGAUGGCCCCAAUGAUUUCUGCUCCCUGGCAUUAUGUCUGUGAUUAUAUCAUGGAAUAUUGCAGAAGGGAUUUUGCAAAUGUAAUUAAGGCUACUAAUCAGUUGAUUGUGAGUUAAUAAAAAAUGAGAUUAUCUGGGUGGGCCAAACCCGAUUACCUGAAGUCUUUAAAAGCAGAGCAUUUUCUCCAGCUAGUUGCAGACUAGGAAGUCAGGGAUGUAAAGCAUAAGAUGGACUUGAUGUGCGGUUGCUGGCUUGAAGUUGGAGCGGACCACACAUCAAGGAAAUGAGGACUUAAAUCCUAAACUGCAAAGAACUGAAUUCUGUCAACAAAAGUGAACCUGAAAGCUGAUUCUUCCCCAGAGCCUUUGAUGGGAAUUCAGCCCAGCUGACACCUUGAUGUCCACCUUGUGAUACCUUGGGAAGAAUCCCUGCCCCACCAUGCUGAACUUUUGAUCUACAAAACUGUGAGCUAAUAAAUGGAUGUUGUUUUAAGCA